GCUUUUGGUUCAGUGGUAGAAUGCUCGCAUGCCACUCGGGCGGCCCGGGUUCGAUUCCCGGCCGAUGCA
rnacentral:tRNA from 1 species